GAUGAACGCUGGCGGCGUGCUUAACACAUGCAAGUCGAACGGAGCUGUUUCGCUGACGAGACUUCGGUCAAAUCUUGAAGCAGCUUAGUGGCGGACGGGUGAGUAACGCGUGGGUAACCUGCCAUAUACAGGGGGAUAACACUUAGAAAUAGGUGCUAAUACCGCAUAAGCGCACGGUUCUGCAUGGAACAGUGUGAAAAACUCCGGUGGUAUAUGAUGGACCCGCGUCUGAUUAGCUAGUUGGUGAGGUAACGGCCCACCAAGGCGACGAUCAGUAGCCGAACUGAGAGGUUGAUCGGCCACAUUGGGACUGAGACACGGCCCAGACUCCUACGGGAGGCAGCAGUCGGGAAUAUUGCACAAUGGGGGAAACCCUGAUGCAGCGACGCCGCGUAAAGGAAGAAGGUCUUCGGAUUGUAAACUUUUGUCGACAGGGAAGAAAAGUGACAGUACCUAGUGGAGGAAGCCCGGCUAACUACGUGCC
rnacentral:rRNA from 1 species